rnacentral:lncRNA from 1 species
AUGCCAUUUUGUGGUCAAGUCAUGCCACUACCAUUAUCAACUAGCCAUAGCUACUGGUAUCAGGAGGAGACCACAGCAUUGCCAUCAGCACAGAUAAGGCCUCAGUUAAAGUAUCAGCUUUGUUUGGUACUUGGCAAUUUGGAAAGGACGUGGCCAGCUGGUAAGUCCAGAUGCGAGCAGGUAGGAGUGUGGGGCUGGAAGACCUGUGCCCAUUUUAUUUUCUAGAAUACAGUUGCUUAACUCAAAACUGAUUUCAGUGAUGUUGAACGUAUUUUUGUGGAAUGAUCACAAAAUGAACAAACAGCAAAACAAAAGGAAAUUGUUAUUUAAAAACCAUGAAAUGCUAUUGUUGUGUUUGCUAUUGCUCCUCAUCUAAUAAUAUAUGUUUGAGUACUGUAUGCUGAGUUGCUCCCUUACAUUUCAGCAUGGGACUGUAGUAUCAGCCAUGAAAUCUAUAGAGUAUCAAGUGGCUAGUAAGUUCAUUAUUCAAAAGUCUGUACUGUUAACCAUAAUCUCAUAUUAGACUUGAAGCCUCCAUAUAAUUAAUACAAGUAAUCCUGCCACCUGAUCCAUCAUUAUCAUCAUGAUGCUACAGUCCCAGUUGUGAAACCAAGAAGCCUGAUUUGUGUGGAAAGUGCAAUAGCAGUAAUUAAAUUAAUCGGUGUUACUGGAAAAGAUCAACACCUGAGUUCUUAUUAACAUUGUCAGGCACCAAGUUUUUGACCGCCUGUGUUCUUUUAGCCUCUGACCAGAUAAUAUUAAAUAUCACAACACUAAAGGUUAGUUAUGCAAGGCAAAAGAACACUUAGUUAAUCUGUGUGGAUUCCACAGAAAGAAUUACUAUAAAUAUACAUUUCAAUUUGUAAAUACACUUACAGUGAUUGUGUUGGUUUUCUUCCAGAUAUAUUUUAGCAAACAUAUUCAUGGGUAGGCAUGAUAGUUAAUUAAUUAAUUGAUUGAUUGAUUGAAACAAACACAGAGAAUAUUUGCAGGACCCUUACUCACCAUUUUAUAAAUGUGUAUAUUCUUUGCUUAAGAACUAUAUAUAUAUGUUUUAGCAAGCAAGAAAAAGAAGGGAUAAUAUAUCAAAUGUAAAACAGCUCUUUCUUUGAGUCAUUUCAAAGAAUAACUCGGGUAAUAUCUACAGAGUAGGGAUAAGCCUCCAGUGGCCUAGCACUGUUCCCACUCAAGUUAAUGCAAACUCAGUCAUUUAUUUCAGCCAGACAAUCUCACAGCUAUUUUAGCAAUUAGGUUCAUGUAAUGAAUUAAUUGCAUAAAAUUAUAAGCAAUUGGUAGACAAAUACAAAGAAAUGAAAUUAACUGGAUAAAUUAUAUGCUGUGAACCACUUAUCUGUAAUACUUAGCUUUUGGUACUGUGAAGUAUUUCAAAUAAAUGAUACAAUUCAAUAAAAGGGACUUUUUCA